rnacentral:rRNA from 1 species
CCUACGAGAGGCAGCAGUGGGGAAUAUUGGACAAUGGGGGGAACCCUGAUCCAGCGACGCCGCGUGAGUGAAGAAGUAUUUCGGUAUGUAAAGCUCUAUCAGCAGGGAAGAAAGAAAUGACGGUACCUGACUACGAAGCCCCGGCUAACUACGUGCCAGCAGCCACGGUAAUACGUAGGGGGCAAGCGUUAUCCGGAUUUACUGGGUGUAAAGGGAGCGUAGACGGCGAUGCAAGUCUGAAGUGAAAGGCGGGGGGCGAACCCCAGAACUGCUUGGGAAACGGGAUGGCUGGAGUGCAGGAGAGGGAAGUGGAAUGCCUAGUGUAGCGGUGAAAUGCGUAGAUAUUAGGAGGAACACCAGUGGCGAAGGCGGCUUACUGGACUGUAACUGACGUUGAGGCUCGAAAGCGUGGGGAGCAAACAGGAUUAGAUACCCGAGUAGUC